AAUAGUAAUGAACAAAAGCAAUACGAAUUUUUGGACCAUGUAAGUUUGCUAUCGGCGCAUUUUAGCAAGGAAGCUAACGUGCACCAAGUAGGAAAAUUCCAUGGGAAAGAAAUGCAACUCUGGUAAGGAGGUGGACACGAUUGGGUCACUGACUAACCGAUGAUUAGCAAGGAUCGCCAAUUGUCUACUAUUACCUUUGGUAGCUACCGACCAACUAGGUUUUAGUCUAUUGAAGAGGAGGGGGACAAACUAGGUUCGGAUUCAGACUCACAAAAGAUGAUCCAACUAGAGCCCUAUGGUGGCAUUACGACGGAAUCAUAGCCGGCGAUGAGACGGUUACAAUUUUCAGGAGUGGACACGUCUGCUCCACCUCCGAUGUCGGCAGUCAAAUCGGAUGAGGCUAAGCGAGUGGAUAACAAGGAGAGACGGCGGGGUAAACCACUAACCUAUGUACCUUCGAGUCUGAGGAAUGGGAAGAAAUGUGUAACUAUUGUAAAGGAUGAUUUGGCUGAACUAGCUAGCUAUUGGAGCUCUACUUGUAGUAGAGAAGAAGACCGAGGAAAUAUCAACCAAGACAAAGCCAGUGGUGACAUAUGUGUGAUAAGGUUUUCUAUCCCUGUCCUCAAUAGUUUUCAAAGUCUAACCAUGAAGGCAACCACAAGUACAGGCGACCCCAGGGGUCCUCACACACCAUGAGACUAGUUACAUGGAAUCUUAGAGGGCUGAAUCAACCCUUUAAACAGAAAGAGGUCAAUCUUAUUAAGGUGGAUGUGGUGGGACUCAUUGAAACUAGAGUAAAGGAGAAUAAAGCUCAAAAUAUCAUCAACAAGUUGGGUUUUGACGGGAUAUCUUGUUGUAAUAAUCCGUUGGGAAGGAAUGGAAGAAUUUGGCUAUUAUGGAAGAACUUGUUCCAAAUACAAGUGGAAAAGAUAAGGCUUCAAGCUAAUACAGAUAAGAGUUGCAUAUAUAUGGCAAGGGUGAAAGCUAGUGUGAGACAGGAAAUUCUAGACUACCUAGGCUAUCAAGAGGGUGAAUUACCAUUCAAAUACUUGGGGGUUCCGUUGUAAUCCAAGAAAUUGACUGUUGCACAGUGCUUACCUAUAGUAGAAAAGAUAACUGCAAAAAUGAGGUGCUUGUCAGCUAAGUUAUUGUCCUAUGUUGGAAGGACUCAAUUUAUUAAGUCAUUUAUUUUUGGCAUCCAAACUUA